UCCAGAGUAGCUCAAUGGUAGAGCAAUCGGCUGUUAACCGAUGGGUUGAAGGUUCGAGCCCUUCCUCUGGAGCCA
rnacentral:tRNA from 2 species